rnacentral:rRNA from 1 species
GCUACGGGUGGCAGCAGUGAGGAAUAUUGGUCAAUGGGCGCGAGCCUGAACCAGCCAAGUAGCGUGAAGGAUGACUGCCCUACGGGUUGUAAACUUCGUUUAUAAAGGAAUAAAGUGAGGCACGUGUGCCUUUAUGUAUGUACUUUAUGAAUAAGGAUCGGCUAACUCCGUGCCAGCAGCCGCGGUAAUACGGAGGAUCCGAGCGUUAUCCGGAUGUAUUGGGUUUAAAGGGAGAGUAGAUGGGUUGUUAAGUCAGUUGUGAAAGUUUGCGGCUCAACCGUAAAAUUGCAAUUGAUACUGGCAGUCUUGAGUACAGUUGAGGUAGGCGGAAUUCGUGGUGUAGCAGUGAAAUGCUUAGAUAUCACGAAGAACUCCGAUUGCGAAGGCAGCUUACUAAACUGCCACUGACAUUGAUGCUCGAAAGUGUGGGUAUCAAACAGGAUUAGAUACCCUUGUAGUC